GAAGCUUCAGAGCAGUAGCAGUGCAUAGUGUAUUGAUACUACCGGCCCCCGAGCCUAGCAAAUUGCCUGGUGAGCGGCUGUCUUGGAUAAAUGGCGAAUGAUGACAUCCCAGUGGUCACUUCCACGCACCACAGGCCUCUCCGAAAUUGGAGUUCCAGAAGCCAUCCUUGGAUAACAUCUCUAUAAUCUCCUGGGAGAAUCCUUCUUCCAAGAAAUCCUCCACCAGAGGAGAGUUCUUGGUCUCAGUCACAUCUGAAAGAGUUAUGAAAGGGUCUGACCCCUGACCCUUACCAGAGGUAAGCUCUUUCACGGGGACCUUCCACUGCUCAUCCAUCCACUGCCACAGCGGCAGCCAUGGGACAGAUUCACAGACAGUAAAUCACAUUCGUGGCAUGCUUGCUCACAGGCAGGAGUGCCUCAGGCACUCUGUUAUACUCGACAACCUCCUGUAAGUAGAGACAGAGUUUCAGCAUGUUGGCCAGUCUGGUCUCGAACUCCUGACCUCAAGUGAUCUGCCUGCCUUGCCCUCCCAAAGUGCUGGGAUUACAGAUAUCCAGCUCACUCUCCUUACCACACUGGUGCUCAUGUUGUUCCCUCUGCCUCAAAUGCACCGACAGACAUGUAAUAGGCACCCCUUAUGUGCCAAGCAUGAUGUCAGGAGCUGGGAAUACAGGGUGAAUCAGCUGCUUCCAAGAGAGGCACACCGUUAAAGGGGAAAGACGCUGACGUGUUUCAGACCAUUCGGCACAAGAGGGACAACCCAGCUUCCUCACGGGGUGACUGGAGGAUUGAACGAGCAAGUCCGAAGAGCUGCUACUCAAUCGUUCAUUAAUUUAGAGCUGUCCGCUGGGCCCUGGAGCAGGAACUGUUUGUUCCAAUCACUGUGGACACGCCCCUGUCCUCACACAGCUCCCGCUCUGAUGAUAAAAUGGUAGCUAGAAUGUGAUGGAGCGACGGCCAAGAUGAGUAGGAGAGGAGAUACGGAGUUCUCACAGGGUCCCAGGUCAGACUUGAAGAAGCCCCCAGGUUUGUGUUAUUUGUUACAGCAGCAGGAAGAUCCUGAAACAGUCGUCCCAAUGUGAUGCUAAGCAGGAAUUGGGUAGACGAGCCAUGGGGAUCCUGUUUCUACUUACAACAGAUCCUGUCCAUCCUCUGCUCCAAACCCUCCAAUGGCCUCCGGAUUCAUCGCAUUUAAAGACAAAGGCCAUACAAUGAUCUCCAGGGCCCUAAAGAUCAGGCCCCAGCUAUCCCUCAGGGCUCACCUUCUCCCCCGUUCCUGCUCAGCCACUCUGCUCCAGCCACACCAGCUUCCUUGCUGCUCCCCGAACACACCUGCCAGCUCCCAUCUUAGAGUCAAGAUUGUGUCCCUCAGUUCUCUGCUUAAAUGCCUCUUCUCCAUGAGGCCUUCUCCGACCCCUCUGUAUAAAACAGCAAAUCCUCCUGGGGUCUCCCUAUCCCUUUCUUCCACAAUCCUUAAUACUGCCUGCAUUCUAUGUGAUUUACUGAAUGCAUUUUACUGUGUGGUAUGGGGUUGAACUGUAACCCUCCAAAAAGAUACAAUGAAGUUCUAAUUCCCAGUACCCCAGAAUUUGCCCUUAUUUGGAAAUGGGGUCUUUACAGAGGUGAUCAAGCUGAGAUGAGGUCACCAGGCUGGGUCCUAAUCCAACAUGACUGAAGUUGUUAUAAAUAGGAGAAAUGGGGACAAAAAGACAAACACAGGCUGAGGGAAAACAAUGUGAAGAUACGAGGAGAACAUCCUGGGAAGAUGAAGGCAGAGACUGGGGUGAUGCCUCUCUAGGCCAAGCAACACCGAAGCUGGCCAGCACACUGCCAGAAGCUAGGGGAGAGGCCUGGCUUGCAGCCUCAGAAGGAUCCAGCCCUGACAACACCCCGAUCUCAGACUUCUGGCCUCCAGGACUGCAAGACCAUCCAUUUCUGUUGUUUUCAGCCACCCAGUGUGCGGUACUUUGUUACAGCAGCCCUAGCAAGCUCAUACACUGUCACUCGCAAUAACGUGAGCUUCAUGAGGACAGGAACCGCCUAAACUGUUUCCCUAGUCCAGACUCAUAACAAAGCCCACACAUGGCAGGCACAGAGUAAAUACUUGUCGAAGGAGGCAAAGCAGCAUGUGGUCCUGAUAGCUGUUUUGGGACAAGGGAAGGAGCUCAUCAAGGAUGGAACCCAUACUAAGCGAGGUUCAAGAUGGGGACAAUAAACUGAGUCCCAAUCACACUUGCAGAUGAUGACAGCCCUACCUCUGGACUUUUGGUUAUAUAAGUAGUAGUCUCCUGACUGCGUAAGUCGAUUUCUGACACUUAUAAUAGAAACUGUUGCUGUCUAUAUCCUGUCAAGAGCACCAGUCAAGCAGUUUUUUCAGCAGGAGCCAGAUCACAGAGGACCUUUGAGGGGCUUCCUUUCCUCACACUCCCAGCCUGUGCUGGACAAGGGCCCCUGGUCUCAGUGAUGCAGGAGGUGGGAAGACAGGGCAGACUUGAUCCCUGAGGCACUGCAGAGCCACAGGAAAGUGACAAGGUCAGAGCACAUAUGUGGCAACCAUUUACCUUGUGUGCCAGACCACACUGUGGGCACUAGGGACACGGAUGUGUGUCAGACCUGGUUCCCGGCCUCAUGGAGCUCAUGGUCUGAUGAAGAAACAUGAGGGAGGUAGGACUGUGGCACAGGGACGUAUCGAGGGCUGUGUGGGCCAGAGGAAGGAGGGAGGCCACUGCCUUGAGGUCAGGGAAAGCUUCCUGGAGGAGAGGUUAUUAAAGUUGGAUCACUAAGGAUGAACAGAUAUUUACCAGAUAGAGAGAUGGUUUCACGCAUCAUUCAUUGAUUCAUUCAUACAUUCACCUGAUACCUCAUGAGGCUUCCUGUGUGCCUGGCCUGUGCUGGGCCCUGGGGACCCAGAGAUGAAUCCCCAUCAGUUCGUGUCCCCAAGGAGCAUCUAGUCUGGUCGGGAUGACAGAUACGGGCAGGAACAUCCAUAUCUAGGUGGAUCUGUGCUACAGUGGAGGCAGCAGGGGGCGCUAUGGAAGGUCAGAGUGGGAAAGUGCUGAGUGCCUAGGGAAGACCUAGGGAACUGAGCCGGGUCUUAAAGGCUGUGUGAGACAUUACCAGAUGGAAAAGGGACAGGGGAUUCCAGCAGAGGACCCAGCCUGAGCAAAGGCAGGGAAGCUGCUGGAAAGUACACAAUCAACUUUUACUACUAGGCCAAAGGGAGUACUGGUCAUCUAGAGAAAUGGGAGAAGAUGGUGCAAAGGUGGGUAGAACCUAGAACA